UGCAUUUUUUGGUAAGACGAUGUUAACAAAAGUUGUUCGUCUUGAUGAGGGCUACAACUUUUCUUAAUAUCCUUUUAACAAAUUAUGCGUAUUUAAGAAGAUAACGCUGCGCAUGCGCAGAACGUAACUCCUUACGCUUGCAUUUUUUGGUAAGACGAUGUUAACAAAAGUUGUUCGUCUUGAUGAGGGCUACAACUUUGCUUAAUAUCCUUUUAACAAAUUAUGCG
rnacentral:miRNA from 1 species